GAUGAACGCUGGCGGCGUGCCUAAUACAUGCAAGUCGAGCGAACAGACGAGGAGCUUGCUCCUUUGACGUUAGCGGCGGACGGGUGAGUAACACGUGGAUAACCUACCUAUAAGACUGGGAUAACUUCGGGAAACCGGAGCUAAUACCGGAUAACAUGUUGAACCGCAUGGUUCAACAGUGAAAGACGGUCUUGCUGUCACUUAUAGAUGGAUCCGCGCCGCAUUAGCUAGUUGGUAAGUUAACGGCUUACCAAGGCAACGAUGCGUAGCCGACCUGAGAGGGUGAUAGGCCACCCUGGAACUGAGACACGGUCCAGACUCCUACGGGAGGCAGCAGUAGGGAAUCGUACGCAAUGGGCGAAAGCCUGACGGAGCAACGCCGCGUGAGUGAAGAAGGUCUUCGGAUCGUAAAACUCUGUUAUUAGGGAAGAACAAAUGUGUAAGUAAAUAUGCACGUAUUGACGGUACCUAAUCAGAAAGCCACGGCUAACUACGUG
rnacentral:rRNA from 1 species